UACGUAGGUGGCAAGCGUUUGUCCGGAUUUACUGGGCGUAAAGAGCGCGCAGGCGGUCGGAUAAGUCGAAUGUGAAAGCCCCCGGCUCAACUGGGGAGGGUCAUUCGAUACUGUUCGACUCGAAGGCAGGAGAGGGAAGUGGAAUUCCCGGUGUAGUGGUGAAAUGCGUAGAUAUCGGGAGGAACACCAGUGGCGAAGGCGACUUCCUGGCCUGUUCUUGACGCUGAGGCGCGAAAGCUAGGGGGAGCAAACGGGG
rnacentral:rRNA from 1 species